rnacentral:tRNA from 1 species
GAUAAAAUGGCUGAAGAAAAGCAAUAAAUUGUAAAUUUAUGUAUGAAUGUAGAUUCUUUUAUCA